rnacentral:misc_RNA from 1 species
AACUUUUAACAACGGAUCACCGCAUCAGCGAAUCGAAAUCGGAACCAUACUACGCCUUACAGUGGGGCGCCAUACCUGGCAAACGGUGACCGCAGGAAUUCAUGCGUCCAUGCCGACGGCCACUGUUUGGCCGCAGGCGGCGAUGAGUCGCGUCAAGGACCCUCCUCCGCCACCAAAGGCCUAGUCGGUUGCGACUCGCCCCUAUGAUCGCGUGGCCGGUCGUCAACGGUGCAGACACGACGACGCGAUGCCGGGCGAGUUGCCGUGGGAAGGGCUCAACGAGAUGCGCACGGAAAUGACGAAGCCAACCCGUGAUCAGUGGGACGAUCCGUGUCCGACUGCGUACGCACGAGAAUCGGCCUACGGACUGCAGAUCCCGACGCCCCUUAAGCAUAUCAAUAAGCGGAGGCU